rnacentral:rRNA from 1 species
CCUUAGAUGUCCUGGGCCGCACGCGCGUUACACUGACAGAGCCAGCGAGUACUCCCUUGGCCGGAAGGCCCGGGUAAUCUUGUUAAACUCUGUCGUGCUGGGGAUAGAGCAUUGCAAUUAUUGCUCUUCAACGAGGAAUCCCUAGUAAGCGCAAGUCAUCAGCUUGCGUUGAUUACGUCCCUGCCCUUUGUACACACCGCCCGUCGCUACUACCGAUUGAAUGGCUCAGCGAGGCUUUCGGACUGGCCCAGAGAGGUUGGCAACGACCACUCAGGGCCGGAAAGUUAUCCAAACUCGGUCAUUUAGAGGAAGUAAAAGUCGUAACAAGGUCUCCGUUGGUGAACCAGCGGAGGAAUCAUUACAGAGUUUAACGACUCCCAAACCACUGUUAACGUACCCGUACCGUUGCCUCGGCGGGCGGCCCCUGGGAGGGGCCGCAGCCUCCCUCGCGGAGGCGCCCGCCGCAGGUCCCAAUCACUAUAUUACUUUUUUGGCACGUCUGAGUAAACUUCCAAACAAUCAAAACUUUCAACAACGGAUCUCUUGGUUCUGGCAUCGAUGAAGAACGCAGCGAAAUGCGAUAAGUAAUGUGAAUUGCAGAAUUCAGUGAAUCAUCGAAUCUUUGAACGCACAUUGCGCCCGCCAUCUUGGCGGGCAUGCCUGUCUGAGCGUCAUU